GUGCUCCCUUUGGCAGCACAUAUACUAAAAUUGGAACGAUACAAAGAAGAUAAGCAUGACCCCUGUGCAAGGACGACGCACAAAUUUGUGAAGCGUUCCAUUAAAAA